ACGGGGAUGGGCGGAGCUUGAAACAUGUCAGAGAGCCGCCAUUUUAUACAGGUUAUUCAGCUUUGAACAUUUAAUGAAAUAUGGGAACGGUGAAUAAAGGUGGCGCUGAUCCCGCCAGGAAGACGGUAAAGAAAAAGAAAACGUUCUGCCCUCCAAUUCUGAGACCAAGACAAAUCCCCGUCCCUAAUGGGCAAACAGCUGACCAGGAACAGAUAUCAACACCAGAGA